rnacentral:lncRNA from 1 species
GUUUUGUAGUUUUUGGUGUAUCAGUCUUUUGCUUCCUUGGUUAACUUAUUCCUAAGUAUUUUAUUCUUUUUGAUGCUAUUGUAAGUGGAAUUGUUUCCUUAAUUUUCUUUUCGGAUAUUUCAUUGGUAGUGUAUAGAAAUGGAACUGUUUUUGCAUAUUGAUUUUGUAUUCAGCAACUUUGGUGAAUUUAUUAGCUGUAACUUUUUUUGUGGAAUAUUUAGGGUUUUCUACACAUGUAAUCAUGCUAUCUGUGAACAGGGAUAAUUUGACUUCUUCCUCUCCGAUUUGGAUGCCUUCUAUUUCUCCCUCUUGCCUAAUUGCUCUGGCUAGAAUUUCCAAUACUAUAUUGAGUAGAAUUAGCUAAACUGGGCAUCCUUCUCUCAUUUCUGGUCUUAGAAGAGCCUAUCAUUUUUCUAAUGUGUCAUGUUGUAGGUUGUUUUCUGCAAGUUCGUUGUUUUUCUUGCACAUAUUCUAACAGUUUCACUCAAAGCUUCUAAGAUGUUUUCAUGUUGUGGUGUUUGUAUCUCUAGCACACUAAUUUUUACUGAUAACAUUAUUUACAAUAGAAUAUUACAUAUCUAUACUGUUACUAGGCAUCAUGGUUAUUUCCAUUUUUCUCCUAUUGUAAACAGUGCUGCCAUGAAGAAUCUUGAACAUGUCUCUGCAGAGUUUCUGUAGAGUAUAUGCAUAAGAGUGAAAUUGAUAGCUCAAGGCCUUUGCAAUGAAUCUUCCAAUGAAGCUGUUUUGGAAUCCUGAAACCUUUUGUAAGCUUCUGCAUACCAAUUAAAGUAGGUAUCCCAUGCUGUUUGUCCAACUUGGGAUCCCUCACUCUCUAGUAUAUUUCUUAAAUGAACAAUCUUGUCUAAUUGGAACAUUCCCCAUAAUGACCAUUGUAAUUAUAGGUUGUUUUUAGUAAAAUUUUGUCAUCAUGCUAGAUAUCUACAACUUUCAGAACUAUAGUUGUUAAACAUAAAAUAAGCAGGUGUGCUGGAAGUUGGCGCACUCAACUCUUUGUAUAUAAAGGCUCCCAUUUCUUUUAGUUAGGCCUGUGGGUCUCUCAGAGCCAAACUAAUACCUAAGAGGGGUGUGCUGUGGAGUUGAAAAUUGUGGUGUGUUUCACAGUGUACCUUGGUGCAUGGAAAUGUUCUUGAGUUUGGUGGGUGACCUAGUGUCAAUCUAACCCAUUUCGUGACCAAUUUAUCCUAACAUGGGAGUCUUUGGGGUAAGUGGCAAGCUCUCUAACAGCUUUUAAAUGCUCAACCUGCGCCCACCAAUUUUGCGGCUUUUUGGCUUCCAAGAUUCCCAUUAGCAAAGGCCUUUACCUCAUGUGCACAUUAACAUACCAGCAGUAACUCAUGAACUAGGGACUGGGGAAAGGA